GGGGAAUAUUGGACAAUGGGCGCAAGCCUGAUCCAGCCAUGCCGCGUGAGUGACGAAGGUCUUCGGAUUGUAAAGCUCUUUUGGCGGGGACGAUAAUGACGGUACCCGCAGAAUAAGCCCCGGCUAACUUCGUGCCAGCAGCCGCGGUAAUACGAAGGGGGCUAGCGUUGUUCGGAAUCACUGGGCGUAAAGCGCACGUAGGCGGACUUAUAAGUCAGGGGUGAAAUCCCGGGGCUCAACCUCGGAACUGCCUUUGAUACUGUGAGUCUCGAGACCGGAAGAGGUGAGUGGAAUUCCUAGUGUAGAGGUGAAAUUCGUAGAUAUUAGGAAGAACACCAGUGGCGAAGGCGGCUCACUGGUCCGGUUCUGACGCUGAGGUGCGAAAGCGUGGGGAGCAAACAGGA
rnacentral:rRNA from 1 species